rnacentral:rRNA from 1 species
AGAGUUUGAUCAUGGCUCAGGACGAACGCUGGCGGCGUGCUUAACACAUGCAAGUCGAACGAUGAAGCCCUUCGGGGUGGAUUAGUGGCGAACGGGUGAGUAACACGUGGGCAAUCUGCCCUUCACUCUGGGACAAGCCCUGGAAACGGGGUCUAAUACCGGAUAACACCUGCCUGGGCAUCUGGGUGGGUUAAAAGCUCCGGCGGUGAAGGAUGAGCCCGCGGCCUAUCAGCUUGUUGGUGAGGUAGUGGCUCACCAAGGCGACGACGGGUAGCCGGCCUGAGAGGGCGACCGGCCACACUGGGACUGAGACACGGCCCAGACUCCUACGGGAGGCAGCAGUGGGAAAUAUUGCACAAUGGGCGAAAGCCUGAUGCAGCGACGCCGCGUGAGGGAUGACGGCCUUCGGGUUGUAAACCUCUUUCAGCAGGGAAGAAGCGAGAGUGACGGUACCUGCAGAAGAAGCGCCGGCUAACUACGUGCCAGCAGCCGCGGUA